AUUGAACGCUGGCGGCAGGCCUAACACAUGCAAGUCGAGCGAGCGGCGGACGGGUGAGUAAUGUCUGGGAAACUGCCUGAUGGAGGGGGAUAACUACUGGAAACGGUAGCUAAUACCGCAUACCAUCAGAUGUGCCCAGAUGGGAUUAGCUAGUAGGUGGGGUAACGGCUCACCUAGGCGACGAUCCCGAGCUGGUCGGAGAGGAUGACCAGCCACACUGGAACUGAGACAAGGGGCAGACUCCGACGGGAGGCAGCAGUGGGAAAUAUUGCACAAUGGGCGCAAGCCUGAUGCAGCCAUGCCGCGUAUUGGAAGAAGUCCUUCGGGUUGAAAAGUACUUUUAGCUUGGCAGCGUUACGCGCAGAAGAUGCACCGGCUAACUCCGUGCCAGCCGCCGCGGUAAUAC
rnacentral:rRNA from 1 species